UACAGAGGUCUCGAGCGUUGUUCGGAUUCAUUGGGCGUAAAGGGUGCGUAGGUGGCACCGUAAGUCGGGUGUGAAAUCCUGAGGCUUAACCUCGGAACUGCAUUCGAUACCGCGGUGCUUGAGGACUGGAGAGGAGAAUGGAAUUCCUGGUGUAGCGGUGAAAUGCGCAGAUAUCAGGAAGAACACCCGUGGCGAAGGCGGUUCUCUGGGACGGUACUG
rnacentral:rRNA from 1 species